UACAGAGGUGGCAAGCGUUGUUCGGAAUUACUGGGCGUAAAGGGCGCGUAGGCGGCCUUGUAAGUCCUGUGUGAAAUCCCCCGGCUCAACUGGGGAACUGCACAGGAGACUGCUUGGCUUGAGUUCGGGAGAGGGAAGCGGAAUUCCGGGUGUAGCGGUGAAAUGCGUAGAUAUCAGGAGGAACACCGGUGGUGUAGACGGCUUUCUGGACCGUAACUGACGCUGAGACACGAAAGCGUGGGUAGCAAACAGG
rnacentral:rRNA from 1 species